rnacentral:ncRNA from 1 species
CGGUUCCGCGCCUCGCGGAUGAAAAGGGAACCCGGCGCGGUCUGCUUGGCAGGCCAAUUCCGGGGCUGCCCUCGCAACUGUAAGCGGCAAGGUCUUUCCAAUGCCACUGGCGCAAGCCGGGAAGGUGGAGCGAUCGUUUGAGCCGUUAGCCAGGAGACCUGCCACAUGC